AACCGUUUUCUUCACAUUGAUUCUCAGAUCCAGAGCCUCGGAACUGGGAUUCAUCCAUUUUCCUGGCGGGGAGACUCCAGACUCUUUCAGUCCCUUCAAAUACAGAGUGACAUCAUUCAACUGCCGGGUUUAUAGUCAGAUGGAGCUUCAUAUCAGGCUUCCCAGAUCUGCCCAGAGGCAUGAGCGACAGGCUGCUUAAAAAUCAAAAGUGCUUUGCUAUCAUCACUGGGGCAUAUGUGCCAACUCUGAUGAAUACUGAUAAACAGAAACCAAUAUUCUAAAGGAAUCAGACCACUAAGUGGGAAUUUCAACUCAAGUUGGGUAGCUAUUCUCAAAUGCGCUGGUGACAGGGAAGAGAGGAAGUCAUCACAGCACAAGGCUUGAAAAACUAAAGAGCAAUGUGGUAUUCCUUCUCUCUAUGUUCAGAGCCAUACUCGUCCUCCCGAAGAAUUUUUAGAAAGUGAAGAUGGUUUCUGUAGUGAGUCCACAAUAAGCUGCCUUACCAGUGACUGUUUGUGAUCCUGUGAACAACAACAAGGAAGAGAUUUGCGGAGCCACCAAUGAGCUCUUCCUGAGACAGGUGAUUUUGGGCCUGUGGGGACGGAGCAUGGAGAGAGGCAUGACUUUCCCUGUUCUACCCAGUAAUGGGCCUGGACCAAUCAAUGACUGCCACGGAGAGCCACAGCUGGGAUAGCUAAGGCAGAUAAAAAGUGCUCAUUUUGCAUUGCAAAAAAGCACACAAGGAGCAUGUGGGAGGCACAGAGGGAAGCACCUGGAGCAGAAGCAUGAAGAGAAUCAAGAAGGAAGCACUCUGAUAGAAGCGGAAGCAACAGGAGAGCAGGACUCAGAGGCAGCAGAAGCCAGCUACACUGGGAAGCAGAAAGAAGAAGCAUUGGCAGAAUGGGCUCUUUUGACCAGCAGAGUGGUACUGGACUCCUUAUGGAGUGGAGUGAGUGAGUGUGUAUGUGUGUGUCGCUCCCUUGCAUGUUGAUAAAACUAAGUAAAAAACUUUC